rnacentral:lncRNA from 11 species
CUUUAUUUCAGCAGAUGUUCGAUGAGUUGGAGCCUGCCAAAAGGAGAAGAGAAAGGCACAUUUUCGAAAACCAAACAAAACCCAUACCUCUCCAAAUGCAAGCCUAUAGUUUAGAUUUUGAGACAAGCUGCAAAACCUCAGCCAUGGAGCCAGGAUGGAGGAAGUGUAAGAGUGUCGAACUGCCUACAGCCUGGUGUC